GAUGAACGCUGGCGGCGUGCCUAAUACAUGCAAGUCGAGCGAACGGACGAGAAGCUUGCUUCUCUGAUGUUAGCGGCGGGCGGGUGAGUAACACGUGGAUAACCUACCUAUAAGACUGGGAUAACUUCGGGAAACCGGAGCUAAUACCGGAUAAUAUUUUGAACCGCAUGGUUCAAAAGUGAAAGACGGUCUUGCUGUCACUUAUAGAUGGAUCCGCGCUGCAUUAGCUAGUUGGUAAGGUAACGGCUUACCAAGGCAACGAUGCAUAGCCGACCUGAGAGGGUGAUCGGCCACACUGGAACUGAGACACGGUCCAGACUCCUACGGGAGGCAGCAGUAGGGAAUCUUACGCAAUGGGCGAAAGCCUGACGGAGCAACGCCGCGUGAGUGAUGAAGGUCUUCGGAUCGUAAAACUCUGUUAUUAGGGAAGAACAUAUGUGUAAGUAACUGUGCACAUCUUGACGGUACCUAAUCAGAAAGCCACGGCUAACUACGUG
rnacentral:rRNA from 1 species